GUCCGGCGAGGCAGCAUUCGACCGUCGUCGUUAACUUCGUCAUCUCGGCUCGACCGAACAGAACAGUCGGCCUCAGUUCCUGAGCAGGGCAGUAGCCCCGCUCCCUCUCAAUCAAGCUAAGUUAUAUCCUUGACUCGUCUUCUUCCUACCAUGUCUGAGUAUCGAUAAGCUUAAGCUUCUAUGAGUAAGAAAGAAUCAGGGUUUAACACUCUGUCAGUGAGCAUGCUAUCGCUAUCCUUGUUCGUUCAUUCAUGUGCUAUGUGUGAGGUCCUCAUGGUUUGUGUUCUAGAGUGCAGUGGCAGUAUACACAUAAGUCUUUCUAUUGCUAUACAUAACAUGGACUGUUUGAUGUAGUGGUAAAACAUGAUUAUGCUCGUUGGUAUGAAUGCGAACUCGAUUGGAUAACUGAGGUGGAAUAAGGGAAGAAGGUGGAGCAUUGAAGACAAGCUUACCUUGAGAAUACUUGGUAGGAUGAAUUAAAGGCUCACUUCUCCUUGUGCAGUCCUCAAAUGAAGAAUGAAGAGAAUGCAACAAUGUUGGCUGUUUUGAAUGACGAGGUGGUUUGGCUGGGAGCUUGUAUACAUGGGAGGAGGUACAUUCUAGGGUGGCUGAUUGACAUAUUUAGGUGUACUUGGGCAUGGCAGCCUGCUGCAUAGGCGUGGGAAAAGAAAAGGUGCAGCAAGCUCAAGAGGGGAUAGGGGAGUGUGCAGCACAUGUCUCCAUACCUUAUUGUUAUUCCCAUUUUCUUGAACUUAGGGGGGGGGGUGGCAGGUGGUGGAGUAGUAAAAAUCUAAUUUGUAUUAUUAUCGAGAUUGCUAAAUUAAAUCCAUAGAUUUAAUUCGUUCGUCA